rnacentral:sRNA from 1 species
ACCAGUGCCGUGGUGGUAUAGAGGGUACGAAUCACCCAAUCCUAUCCCCCCAACAAGUUAUCCAUGGAUCAGAUACAACCGAAAUCUUUUCAUUCGCAUGCAUACUAGUAAUAAGCAACAAAGCACGACCUAACACUAUAGGCAAUGAAACACGUCAACAAAAAAAGGAAAACACGAGAGAAAGACGUGGAGGGCAAAGAAAAUAAAAAAACAAGAACAUCAAAAACAGAGUCUCCUGCCAAUUGCCAAUGAUCAAUUGUGGCGAUUUCCUCACACAUCACAGACAUCACGAAGGUAGGCGACUCUCAUAUGCUCCAUACCACAUACAUAUAACGGAACGCUAUCACGCCGGAAAAGCAAAGGCAAAAAAUAUUUCAAAAGGAGGGCACAUCAACGUAACGGACAUAAACAAUUAAACAAGAAAAGAAAACAACAUAUCAUCAUAACCAUGAAUAGAAGAAGGAAAAGAGGGCCAAAUGCUCGGGUUUCUGCCCAAUCAAUCGCACUCGCUAUAAACCGAUUCCUGUGCGAACCCCUUUUCGCUCGCUGAGCCGGGCAAUUCGGUUCCUAGGCCGCUGUCACUUUGCGGCAUAUAGACUACCAUUCCGCCGGGAUCCACGCCACUUUCAUCGUCGUGAGGUUGUGGUUCCAGGAGCUCCGCGCUUGCGAAGCUCUUGGUGUCUAAAUCCCGUAGACCAUCCCCGUCUUCGUCCGGGCUCUGUUCGCCCUCGCUCCCACUUUCAUAUUCUUCGACCCAAGUUCCCGGCUCCGCACUCACUAAGCCGUUGGUGGAGCUGCUGUAGCUCGAUUGUCUAUCUGUCGUCGACAUCGUCGUUGCAUAGGACAUGCUGUCUGUGCAAGUUCCCGUAUAGCUGGUCCUCCUUUCUGUUGCAGCAUCGCUUUCAUCUCCGCUAACUUCCUCAUCCUCCUCCUUGACCAAUUCAUUUUCUUUAUUGGAAGUGGGGCUCUGACUAUCCCACAAAGGUUUAACUACCGGAUAACUUGACUUGACUGAAUGGCUUCGUUUCAAGUUGGUUAAUCCACUCCUUGCCGAAGGGAGCAUCUGUCGAUCUGUCCACCUUUUGUUACCGGUGACGUUGCUGAGGCUGAGAAUUCUCCGCUCUUCCUUCGUGUGUGAUGACACUGCAGAUCCCGCAGUGGUUUUCAAAGGGUUUCGUCGCCGCUUCAGAGCCAUGCCAACGCCACUACUAAGCACGCUAUUCUCUUUGGCGGUACUCGCAACACUUCCACGCGUCACCGUGCUCGCUGAACUCGGAACUCGUUUUAGAUUCAUGGCUUGAGUGCUACCAGGUCGACUGAUCAAAAGGCUUCUCGCAUGCUCGAGAACACCUUCGACAAUCCUUCGCUCCAGGCCUUCUGCACGGUCCUCCAUAAGCUGCAUUUCUUCUCUCCGGAUACGCAAUGCAGUCUCCAGCCCUGCCAAUUCUUUAUGAAGCUUCAGAUUUUCUUUGCUAAGUGCUUCUUUUUCCUCCUUUAGCUCCGUGACCAUACGGAAAAGAGAUCCCUUUUGGUCAUUCAGUUCGACAACCUCUGCCUCUACUCUCUCUUUCUGUGCCAGUCUCUUCUCGAGCGCGAAGGCUACAUCUUGAGCAUCUGCAUCUUUCUUUGCAAGACUGUCGGCCAAUAGAGCUGCUUGAGCCACCAUCAUUUCACGCAGCUCAUUUGCUGUCGACGAAAUCUGGUCUUGGAUUUGGUCCAGCUUUUCAAUUUGAGAUAUAGAUUUGCCAGUAGAGGCAGCGUGGUCAAGAAGAGUGUUUAACUUGUCGUGGACUUGUGUGUCGUCGUACUUUUCCGGGAUAACAAUCUCUCGAGGCUCCACUGGAGGAGGUGGGGGGGGAAGAGCUGGUAAUAAAGGAGGGAUGGCUGAUGGGAUGGCUGAGACGUUUCGUUGGAGUUCCUCGCUAGUCUGUUGCGAGUGGUCAUAAUGCUUUGAGACCAUGGACAAGAUAUCUUGGAUAGUGGUGAGGAUUUUUGGAUGGGAGUCAGCGAGUUGGUUUUCUAGUCGAUUUGUUGCUUCAAGUGCUCUUGUUAAUUCUCCCUUGACAUGAUCAUGCUGUGAUUGGACGUCAGAGCGGAGGUCAUCCACUUUCGAAAAGGAUUCAUCGACACGAUGGAAAAAGGUUUUAGCAUCGUCGCUCAUCCUUUCACAAGCCUGAGUUACGCUGUCUCCCAUGCCACCUAUCACGAGCUUGAGAUCUUCUGCUAUGUUUUUGGUGUUCGUCAAGGUGUCCAGGCUUUGGACAUCACGCUGUUCGAUAGCAGUGAAUUUUGAAUCUGCUAGCAUCUGCGCGUCUUCGUACUUAGCCAACAACUCAGCAAACUUCUCGUCGAUUUUCGUUCCAAGGUCCAGAACUAUUGCUGCUCGGGCUUCCUCGUGUUUUGCAGACGAGGAAAUUUCUCUUUCCGCCGUUUCAAUUUUCUCAGCCUCACGAUCACCAUGGGAUCGGUCAAAUUCGCGAGUGAUGAGGUCACUAAGCUCCUUGAGGCUUUCAGCGGUAGCGAAUGACUCUGACGCAUCACUCAACGCUCCCAGAAUUGUCUUGAUGUCGACAAGGCCUUCAUCGCUGUCGGUGAGUUUGCUCUUGAGUUCAUCCUUCAAAUCAGUGAUAAGCUGCUUAGCUUCGUCGAUUUUUUCUGCCAAUCCACCAUGCUCGAUCUUUCGGGACUCAAACGCCUGAGCAGUGAGGUCGUUUUCCACCUCCACCUUUUCCUUGAACUCAGUUACCAUAUGGCAAAUGGCACCUAUGUCGUCUUUUGUUGGAAGGGUUUCAAUGUCGGGCAGAACGAAAUCCUCAAGCUGCGAUUUGAUUUCAAGCAACAUCGCCUCGAGGGUUCGCACAUCCUCCUUGAUCACCUUCUCUGAGGCGUCUUCGGGCUGCGCGGAGUUUGUUUUCAACUCCUCCACAACGACCCAGAUAUCCUUGACGAUGGUUUCAAGAUUCUCUAGUUCUGAUUUUGAUGCGCCGUGUGUUUCCACAUGAGCAGCAAAGCCAUCCAAAAUUUCCUUUGUCUCCUUUGCGAGCGCCUCCAGCGCAUCAGCCCUAUCUGCCGUUAUUCCAUUCGGGCUACUUGUCUCUACUAGCUCGUCAACCUUGGCUUUCAUGUUUACGAGCAGGGUUUCAAUCGCUUCAGUAUCCUCCUUUUUGGCAGCAUUUUCGUCCACUGCGGCCGGGAGGGGUUCACGACUAGCAACUUCGAUCACUAGUUCUUGUACUUCUUUAAUAGAGUUUAGGACAUCCACAAGGUCAUUUUUUUCCACAAGAUUGGCAAGGUUUUCCGAAUCACGUGGUCGGGGUUCAAUUGCUUCGACCUUAUUCUGGAGCUGAGUAACGAGAACUUUCAGACUUUCAAUGUCGCUUCCAAUCAAGGAUUCGUUCGCAAGCAUAACCUCUUGGCCGCGUGCGGUUUGAGUGCCUUCGGCCUCUUUCUGGUCAUGGCGGAGUUGUUCAAUUUCAAACUUGACGCUUGCUAAACCGUCCCUUAGUGAAGUGAAAAGCUCCUCACUUGCGCUUGUGGUUAUCUCCGCUGGCCUAUUCAUGAUCUUUUCCAUAUCAGAGCGGAGGAUAUCGAUUCCGUCAUGGAAGGCAUCGAGGAGUUCCCCAGUGUUAGAAAAAACACUCUCAUUUCCAUCUUUCCUUUUGUUGUGCUCGUCUUGAAUUGCUUCAAAACUCUCCCUGAGAAUGGAAAUUAAUUCGUCUCUUUCAAGAGUCGAAUUUGGUCUCAUAAUUGUGAGGGUAAGGGUUUCCCGUAGAUGCUCGAAUUCCUCUUUAACCAUCUGAGAAGUUUCCGAACUGUUGUUUUUUGAAGUAUCACUUUCUGCAAGAUCGCGGAUAGCAUCAAGAAUUUCAUCCUUGUCACUCGAAGCGCUGUUUCUAAUCAACAGGUUGCUCAUUGUUUGCCGGAGAUGUUCAAACUCUUUUUCCAUUGCGUCAAGUAGUUCGAUUGUAUUAGAAUGCCCACCAUCAGAUGCUCGAGCAGCUUCAACAAUGGACUUUUCAAGGUCUGACUGUAACAAGUGGAAUCCAUCCUUAACAGUAUGAAUAAUCUCAUCUUUCCCGG